rnacentral:rRNA from 1 species
UACGUAGGGUCCGAGCGUUGUCCGGAAUUAUUGGGCGUAAAGGGCUCGUAGGCGGUCUGUCGCGUCGGGAGUGAAAUCUUACAGCUUAACUGUGAACUUGCUUUCGGAUACGGGCAGACUUGGAGGGCAUUCAGGGGAGAACGGAAUUCCUGGUGUAGCGGUGAAAUGCGCAGAUAUCAGGAGGAACACCGGUGGCGAAGGCGGUUCUCUGGGACUG